UAUGCAAACUGUCAGUGUUCGUGUGCCUUGGAGGAUUUGUGUAUUUGUUCACAGCAGCUCAGUUUGUGGUGAAAUGAUGAGUUUAAUUCAGUUUAUUCUCUUGGUGGUUCUUUAUCAUCAGUUCACAUGCAGUGUGUUUGGCUCUUCAGUUGAACGUGGUUCUUUAGAAUCUUCAUGGAGUGAUGUUGGGGAUGUAGCUGGAGACAAAGGUAACUUCAGUCAGAAUGCUACUGCUGAGCAAUCUUACACCAAUGCUAACUACAGUCAGAAUGCUACGGAGGAAUCAACCAAUGCCACCUUCAGUCAGAAUUCUGCUCCUUUAACCAACGGCAACUUCAGUCAGAAUUUAUCAGCCAUGUAUCAAAAUAAAACCAUUUAAAAUUUUGUCUUGUGUUGAUUUCGUUUGUUUCUUAACGUAAAAUGAGCUGAAACCAAUCAUUGAGCAAGUACAUGAAAGAACUGUGUUUAAAACUGUGUCAUUACCCUUGCACGCUUGCAAUAAUGGUCUGUAAUUUGCCCUGUCCGGCCGUAUUUCCCGGAGAUCCUUAUAUGGUGUCUUUCGUCGUGCGUCAUUUCGUCACAAUUCGUACACGGAACGAAGAGGAUCCGGCUGCUAGCCAGCGCGUGGAUGCUGCGGGUGACAUGCGAUUUGUAGCGUGUACUCUCAACUACUGGGUAGGAGUUCAUACAACGUUUAGUAUUAUUUAAGGCGGCGUUUAGUACUUUAACUUUUAAACGCCAAGCAGUGUUGACAUCUGGGGAUUCAUCAUUUGUGAAAAACGGUUUACAAUGAAACGGAAUGUGAUGUGAUCGGACUCGUGCGAAAACAAGAAUUAAUAUUGGCAAGGCAUUUCAAAGGUGGCGGGAACUCCGUGAUCUGAAAGGAUUGUAAACGUAGUGCUGUAGUCCCAGCAAACACAGAACGUUCCCCUAACGUUAGUUUUUGGUUCCCUUUUGGUUAUUUUUUUGGGAACCAAAAAAUAACGUGCUAAGAACGUUCUUUUCAGGUUUUAUUUUUUGCAACCAGAAAAUAACGUUCCCAGAACGUUGCAGGCUGGUUUGUUUUAAAUAACCAGAAAAUAACGUUCUCUGAUGGUUAUUUUCUGGUUAUUUUUUUGCAACCAGAAAAUAACGUUCUCUGAUGGUUAUUUAUUGGUUAUUUUUUGCAACCAGAAAAUAACCAGAAAAUAACGUUCUCUGAUGGCUAUUUUCUGGUUAUUUUUUUGCAACCAGAAAAUAACGUUCUCUGAUGGUUAUUUAUUGGUUAUUUUUUGCAACCAGAAAAUAACCAGAAAGUAACGUUCCCUGAUGAUUAUUUUUUGGCUAUUUUUUAUGGUAAAAAUAGUCAAAACUGGUAAACGUCAGUGACGUGAAAUACAUAAAUUAUAAGAUCACAUUAACACAUGUUAUACUGACCAAAUGAAAUUAAUAAAUGUGCCUUUUAAUGGCUGAAAAUAAUAAACUAGUUAAGCUAAAUGAAAAUGCAAUCAUAUAUGUGUAUUUCUUUAGUGUGGUUGUCUGUUACUGUAUGUGUGCGCGCUCGAGCACGUGCAUUCUCCGCUCCGUCGCGCACUUCCGUCAUUUAAAAAUGAACGGUCAUUUCGUUUUACCUCACCCACUAACACAUUAGUUUAGCGGUUUAUUUAUUUUAAUUUUUUAUUUAAAACCGUACAGAUUUGAGAGUAAACAUAUAUUUUCGUGAUUUUCGAUUGAUUUGACACAUCUAAAUCAACAGACCAUGAUGAAAGGACUGAAAGUCAGGGCUUUUGAUUGUUAAAUCUAAAGACGGAGCCGCGCUAUACUUCUGUGGUGAGACAAUAAUAUUGUUAGCCUGAAGAUAAUUCAAUGUUUAUUCUUCUGUCAAUAAAAAUCUGCUUUAAA